AUGGCAGCCGUUCUAGCAUCUUUACUUGGAUCAUGUGCCAAUAAGUUGAAAGAUAUCAUUAUUGAUGAAGCCAUAUUAAUCCUAGGGGUGGAAAAAGAGCUCACAGAAGUACUGCGACGAGUAGAACUAAUACGGUGUUGCAUAUAUGAUGCUGAGAAAAGGAGGACAGAAGAGCAAGCAGUAAACAAUUGGCUUGAUCAGCUGAGAGAUGUUAUGUAUGAUGUUGAAGAAAUCUUGGACGGGGCUAAAUGUAAAGGAAACAAGCUACUUCCUGACCACCCUCCAUCAUCUUCAGGCAAAUCAGUUGCAUGUAAUGGCCUUUCAGUUUCCUCUUGUUUCUGCAACAUCGGGCCACGUCGUGAUGUUGUUGUUCGGAUUAGAAGCCUCAACAAGAAGAUAGAGAACAUUUUGCAUGACACGAUAUUUUUAACAUUCAACAGUAGUACACAACCUGCUGGAAAUGGUCCAAAGUGCAAAAUGAUAAGAAGCUCCAAUCUUGUUGAGCCCAACCUUAUGGGAAGGAGAUCAUACAUUCCAGCAGGAAGUUGGUGGACUUGGUGCUUGUGCACAAGGAAAAUAAGUCUUACAAGCUUGCUAUUGUUGGAACAGGAGGAGUUGGUAAGACAACACUAG
rnacentral:rRNA from 1 species